rnacentral:rRNA from 1 species
GACGAACGCUGGCGGCGUGCCUAAUACAUGCAAGUAGAACGCUGAAGAGAGGAGCUUGCUCUUCUUGGAUGAGUUGCGAACGGGUGAGUAACGCGUAGGUAACCUGCCUUGUAGCGGGGGAUAACUAUUGGAAACGAUAGCUAAUACCGCAUAACAAUGGAUGACACAUGUCAUUUAUUUGAAAGGGGCAAUUGCUCCACUACAAGAUGGACCUGCGUUGUAUUAGCUAGUAGGUGAGGUAACGGCUCACCUAGGCGACGAUACAUAGCCGACCUGAGAGGGUGAUCGGCCACACUGGGACUGAGACACGGCCCAGACUCCUACGGGAGGCAGCAGUAGGGAAUCUUCGGCAAUGGGGGCAACCCUGACCGAGCAACGCCGCGUGAGUGAAGAAGGUUUUCGGAUCGUAAAGCUCUGUUGUAAGUCAAGAACGAGUGUGAGAGUGGAAAGUUCACACUGUGACGGUAGCUUACCAGAAAGGGACGGCUAACUACGUGCCAGCAGCCGCGGUAAUACGUAGGUCCCGAGCGUUGUCCGGAUUUAUUGGGCGUAAAGCGAGCGCAGGCGGUUUGAUAAGUCUGAAGUUAAAGGCUGUGGCUCAACCAUAGUUCGCUUUGGAAACUGUCAAACUUGAGUGCAGAAGGGGAGAGUGGAAUUCCAUGUGUAGCGGUGAAAUGCGUAGAUAUAUGGAGGAACACCGGUGGCGAAAGCGGCUCUCUGGUCUGUAACUGACGCUGAGGCUCGAAAGCGUGGGGAGCGAACAGGAUUAGAUACCCUGGUAGUCCACGCCGUAAACGAUGAGCGCUAGGUGUUGGAUCCUUUCCGGGAUUCAGUGCCGCAGCUAACGCAUUAAGCACUCCGCCUGGGGAGUACGACCGCAAGGUUGAAACUCAAAGGAAUUGACGGGGGCCCGCACAAGCGGUGGAGCAUGUGGUUUAAUUCGAAGCAACGCGAAGAACCUUACCAGGUCUUGACAUCCCGAUGCUAUUUCUAGAGAUAGAAAGUUACUUCGGUACAUCGGUGACAGGUGGUGCAUGGUUGUCGUCAGCUCGUGUCGUGAGAUGUUGGGUUAAGUCCCGCAACGAGCGCAACCCCUAUUGUUAGUUGCCAUCAUUCAGUUGGGCACUCUAGCGAGACUGCCGGUAAUAAACCGGAGGAAGGUGGGGAUGACGUCAAAUCAUCAUGCCCCUUAUGACCUGGGCUACACACGUGCUACAAUGGUUGGUACAACGAGUUGCGAGUCGGUGACGGCAAGCUAAUCUCUUAAAGCCAAUCUCAGUUCGGAUUGUAGGCUGCAACUCGCCUACAUGAAGUCGGAAUCGCUAGUAAUCGCGGAUCAGCACGCCGCGGUGAAUACGUUCCCGGGCCU